AUACUUACCUGGCAGAGGAGAGACCAUGACCAUGAAGCUGGUUUUCCCAGAGCAAGAUUUAUCCAUUGCACUUUAGAUGUGCUGACCCCUGCGAUUUCCAAAAUGUGGGAAACUCGACUGCAUAAUUUGUGGUAGUGGGGAACUGUGUUUGCACUCUCCCCAG